rnacentral:rRNA from 1 species
UACGUAGGGGGCAAGCGUUGUUCGGAAUUACUGGGCGUAAAGGGCGCGUAGGCGGCACGGCAAGUCGGGAGUGAAAGGCCUGGGCUCAACCGAGGAACUGCUUUCGAGACUGCCGAGCUAGAGUGCGGAAGGGGCAACUGGAAUUCCCAGUGUAGCGGUGAAAUGCGUAGAUAUUGGGAAGAACACCUGAGGCGAAGGCGGGUUGCUGGGCCGACACUGACGCUGAGGCGCGAAAGCCAGGGGAGCAAAAGGG